GCCCCGCUAGCUCAAUUGGAUAGAGCAACGACCUUCUAAGUCGUAGGUUACUGGUUCGAAUCCAGUGCGGAGCG
rnacentral:tRNA from 1 species